AUACGUAUGGGGGCAAGCGUUGUUCGGAUUUAUUGGGCGUAAAGGGCGUGUAGGUGGGGGAUUAAGUUAGUUGUGAAAGCCAUGGGCUUAACUCAUGAAUUGCAUCUAAUACUGGUUCUCUUGAGUUCGGGAGAGGAGAGCGGAAUUCCCGGUGUAGCGGUGAAAUGCGUAGAUAUCGGGAAGAACACCAGUGGCGAAGGCGGCUCUCUAGCCUAGAACUGACACUAAGGCGCGAAAGCGUGGGGAGC
rnacentral:rRNA from 1 species